rnacentral:rRNA from 1 species
GCAAGAUACCACGGGCGCACGGCGGAUGCCUUGGCACAGGGAGCCGAUGAAGGACGCGGCAAGCUGCGAUAAUCCCCGGCGAGGAGCACACAUCCUUCGACCCGGGGGUCUCCGAAUGGGCGAACCCAUGCACAGCGGUGUGCAUAUCCCCGGCCCGAACACAUAGGGCCGGGGAGGACAACCCGGGGAACUGAAACAUCUAAGUACCCGGAGGAGAGGAAAUCAAUCUCGAGACUCCCCGAGUAGCGGCGAGCGAAAGGGGACCGAUGGCCAAACCGUCGAGCGGGCAUACCCGGCAGGGGUUCCGCCGACGGGGUUGCAGGGCCGCGCAUCCGGGGGCUGCCGCCCCCGGGCGCAGGUCCGGCUGGGGAGCGGAACGGCAUGGGAGGGCCGGCCGCAGCGGGUGACAGCCCCGUACGCGAACCCAGACCGGACGGCGCGACGCGGUCCCUGAGUAGGGCCGGGCACGUGAAACCCGGUCCGAACCUGGGUGGACCACCAUCCAAGCCUGAGUACUACCCUGUGACCGAUAGCGCACCAGUACCGUGAGGGAAAGGUGAAAAGCACCCCGGGAGGGGAGUGAAACAGUACCUGAAACCGUGCGCCCACGAGCAGUCGGAGCAACUUUAUGUUGUGACGGCGUGCCUUUUGUAGAAUGAGCCAGCGAGUCGCUGGCGCGGGGCGAGGUUAACCGAAAGGGAGCCGGAGCGAAAGCGAGCCUUAACAGGGCGACUUGAGUCCCGCGCCGCGGACGCGAAGCCGGGUGAGCUAUCCGUGGGCAGGCUGAAGCGGGGGUAAGACCCCGUGGAGGGCCGAACGCACGUCGGUUGAAAACGGCGGCGAUGACCUGCGGAUAGGGGUGAAAGGCCAAUCAAACCCGGAGAUAUCUCGUUCUCCCCGAAAUAGCUUUAGGGCUAGCGUCGCGCGUUCACCGCCGGAGGUAGAGCACCGGAUGGACGAGGGGGCUUCGCCGCCUACCGAAUCCAACCGAACUCCGAAUGCCGGCGGCCCAGAGCGCGGCAGUCAGAGCAUGUGGGCUAAGCUGUGUGCUCGAGAGGGAAACAGCCCGGACCGCCCGCUAAGGUCCCCAAGUUCCAGCCGAGUGGCAAAGGAUGUGCGUCCGCCCAGACAACCAGGAUGUUGGCUUAGAAGCAGCCAUCCAUUCAAAGAGUGCGUAACAGCUCACUGGUCGAGUGGACAUGCGCCGACAAUACACGGGGCUAAGCUGGACACCGAAGCGGCGGGAUUUUAAUUCAUUAGAAUCGGUAGGGGAGCUUCCCAUGGGCGGAGAAGCCGGAGGGCGACCGACGGUGGAGCGCAUGGGAGUGAGAAUGCUGGCAUGAGUAGCGAGAGACGAGAGAGUAACUCGUCCGCCGUGAACCCGAGGUUUCCUGGGCAAGGCUAAUCCUCCCAGGGUCAGUCGGGGGCUAAGGCGAGGCCGGGAGGCGUAGCCGACGCGCAGCAGGCAGACAUUCCUGCACCGCGCACGCGGCGCUACGACCGACGGGGCGACGGAUGGGGGUGGCUCGGCGGGGUUCUGGACGUCCCCGUGAUGGAGCGCGGCCCGCGGACCAGGGAAAUCCGGUCCGCAUUGAGGGCGAGGCUCCGGACGAAGCGACUGAGCGAAGCGAGUGAGCCCGAGGUCCCUAGAAAAACCCCUAGGCAGGCGCGUGCGCGCCCGUACCGCAAACCGACACAGGUGGGUGGGUAGAACAUACCGAGGCGAUCGGGUCAACCAUGGUCAAGGAACUCGGCACAAUGGCCCCGUAACUUCGGGAGAAGGGGUGCCCGCGCGUACGUGAACCGGCUUGCCCGGGGAGCGGAGGCGGGCCGCAGUGGAGAGGCCCAAGCGACUGUUUACCAAAAACACAGGACUCUGCAGAAGCCGCAAGGCGACGUAUAGGGUCUGACGCCUGCCCGGUGCCGGAAGGUCACGCGGAGGAGUUAGCCAUUUCGGCGAAGCCCCGAAGCCAAGCCCCGGUAAACGGCGGCCGUAACUAUAACGGUCCUAAGGUAGCGAAAUUCCUUGUCGGGU